rnacentral:rRNA from 1 species
UACAGAGGGUGCGAACGUUUGUUCGGAUUUACUGGGCGUAAAGCGCGUGUAGGCGGCUUUGCAAGUCGGAUGUGAAAGCCCACGGCUCAACCCGUGGAAGUGCAUCCGAAACUGCAUGGCUGGAGUCUCGGAGAGGAAGGUGGAAUGCUUGGUGUAGAGGUGAAAUUCGUAGAUAUCAAGCAGAACACCUGCGGCGAAGGCGGCCUUCUGGACGAUGACUGACGCUGAGACGCGAAAGCGUGGGGAGCAAACAGG